UUUGAUUUUUUCUCAAAACACACCUUCAUCGUGAUUUGAGAGUUGGAUCUUCGUCGGCGUGAACAUUUGCAGCUGGUUCUCUCCUCUCAUCUUCGAGUUCAUGGGUUACCCCUAGUUCAUGGGUUAAACACACCUUCAUCGUGAUUAACCAGACAUCUACAAAGGAUAUAAUCAAGUUCAGAUCAAUGGACAGUGAAGAUGCAUAUUCUCUUGGUGGGGGUGGUGGGCAAACUUCAGCAGAUACAUCACAAUCUAAAAGUCUGAUGAGAAGGACGAGAUAGUUGUAAUUCGGGAAAACCCAACUUCGAGUGGAAAAGAAGAUGAAUGAAGCUUUCAAAACCCAAAGUUUGUUUCUACUCAAUAUGAAAGCUUGACUAUGUUUUAUGUUUUUGUCUAUGUUUAAUGUUGCUAUUGACUUCAAUCAGCUUGAUCAUCUGAAUCUACUUGUAGUCAGCUAUCAUUGGUCGAAGUUGCUUGUCAUGUUACUCAAAUAUUCAUUCUAAGAAGAGUGUGGAGCAUCGUCGUAUACAAGAGUGUGGAGCAUCGCUGACUACAAAUAUUCAUUGUUGUCAUUGUGUUUUGUGUGAGUGAAUAAAGAAAAAAACACAAGACAUAUUUGAUGUACUUCCUUUUAGUUUUAAUGUAUGAACUCACUUACAUAAGUUAAUCAUUUAACCA